rnacentral:rRNA from 1 species
AACGCGAAGAACCUUACCUGGUCUUGACAUCCCAGGAACCCUGUAGAGAUACGGGGGUGCCUUCGGGAACCUGGAGACAGGUGCUGCAUGGCUGUCGUCAGCUCGUGUCGUGAGAUGUUGGGUUAAGUCCCGCAACGAGCGCAACCCUUGUCCUGUGUUGCCAUCAUUUAGUUGGGCACUCUCAGGAGACCGCCAGCGAUAAGCUGGAGGAAGGUGGGGAUGAUGUCAAGUCAUCAUGGCCUUUAUGUCCAGGGCUACACACGUGCUACAAUGGCCGGUACAAAGCGCUGCAAACUCGCAAGAGGGAGCUAAUCGCAAAAAACCGGUCUCAGUUCGGAUCGCAGGCUGCAACUCGCCUGCGUGAAGCUGGAAUCGCUAGUAAUGCCGUAUCAGAACGAUGGCGUGAAUACGUUCCCGGGCCUUGUACUACACCGCUACAGU